CGGCGGGGUUAGAAGCGUAGCUGCUCAGGCGAUGCCUGAAGUUAAAGUUUUAAUAUUUUAAUAUUUAUAGAGGACCCUUUCACAACAUGGCAAGUUCAAUGUCUGUUCAUUCGACGACGAAGACGAAGGUGACAACCGCGAUGGAGUUAUCUGACUCGAGAACGGACAAUUAUUAUUACAAGAAAAUGGAGCCCAUUUUCCGCUUUGAGAAGGACUCAACGUCAGAGUUGACCCCUCCAUAAAGGUAGUGGUCUCUGCCACUGCCCUGGUAAAGAACCCCGAACUGGUGCGCUCUGAGGCGAGGGCUAGAAGAAGGGAGGUGACCCCACCAACCACCGGCCUGCGAGCUGCAGCUCGGCCAGUACAGGGAUCAGACAUUCCAGUGGCUACUCGGCAACGACGUGGGAUACGCUGUGACCAUCAUUGUAUCCCACAAGGGAGAGGGAGAAGCAGCCAGGGACAAACCUGAAAAAGUAUGUGCUGACCAGGGAUGUGGAGAAGGCAGCACAACCGCCCCUGGGCACUGUCGGUCCACCUGUUGACGAGGGUCCAUCGGAUGCCACUCUUCUCGCUGCCGCCAUGGAGGUCGACUCGUGCAGGCAUGCCCCACCAGCCGUGACCCCCUUCUCCCUCUCCCAACCACCAGAACGUCCCCUUCUGGACACACCAGCCUCUGGCGCUCAGAUUUUUUUUUCUAGCAAGACCACCCUUGUCAGUCACUCCGCAUUACUCCCGGCAGAGACAGGUGUCUUGUCCUACUUACACCCCACCCGUGGCCUG